rnacentral:rRNA from 1 species
CGCUAUCAUCCUACGGGAGGCAGCAGUGGGGAAUAUUGCACAAUGGGGGAAACCCUGAUGCAGCCAUGCCGCGUGUGUGAAGAAGGCCUUCGGGUUGUAAAGCACUUUCAGUAGGGAGGAAGGUAGUGUAGUUAACACCUGCAUUAUUUGACGUUACCUACAGAAGAAGCACCGGCUAACUCCGUGCCAGCAGCCGCGGUAAUACGGAGGGUGCGAGCGUUAAUCGGAAUUACUGGGCGUAAAGCGCAUGCAGGUGGUUUGUUAAGUCAGAUGUGAAAGCCCGGGGCUCAACCUCGGAAUUGCAUUUGAAACUGGCAGACUAGAGUACUGUAGAGGGGGUAGAAUUUCAGGUGUAGCGGUGAAAUGCGUAGAGAUCUGAAGGAAUACCGGUGGCGAAGGCGGCCCCCUGGACAGAUACUGACACUCAGAUGCGAAAGCGUGGGGAGCAAACAGGAUUAGAUACCCUGGUAG